rnacentral:lncRNA from 1 species
CGAUAAAUUACAACUAUUAGGCAUCAUAAACUGCUAAACCACACAUGGAUGAACUAAACUAACUUGGAUGUCUAAGCAUUCUGAAUACACUAGCAUCAGUAUCAACAAUAUUUAAUCAGAACUGAAAAGAAAUUACAAAUUCAAAGGAAGAAGAACAACAAAAAAUAUCUAGCUAAGCACAAUCCAGUCAUAUCCCAAAUUAACAUGCUACAAUUCCAUUUUUAUCAUUUCAAAGCUCAUGAACAUACCUGGAUACAACAAAAGAAAAUGAAAUAAGAACUUCAACAAAGAACGAGCAAGAGACAACAGUUAGUCAAUAGCUGUAGCAGCUUCACUUAGUCCAUACUUAAACCAGAAAUUUCAGGGAAGAUUUUUCUAUGUUUUUUGCUAAAAAGUCGAAGGAAGAUAAAAUCAACUCCCAAUGGAAUAGAAGCUAAAUCUUUUUUUAUUGCUUUUUAGGGUUCUGAAUCUCUCCAAAUGAGUGAAGAAAUGAUCUAUAUAUAGCUAUAAAGAAUGCCAUGUGCUGAAAAGGAUCGGGGAAUUAUUCCCUUCAACCACAAGAGCAUCCUUUAAUAGAAUUUGGACAACUGGAAGCCCCUAAUUGGUUCCAGUAUUUUGUACUGGAUAAAUAGGGCAAGCUGCCCAUAUUCUAGAACCUUAUUACAUGGCCUUAUCUCAAUUUCCUUUUUCAAUACCCUUCCAAUGACCCCUCUUAAGUUUUCCUUUUGUUUGAUUAACUCCUCACAAUUUUUCAAUUUAUUUACAAAUCAGGACCAACAAAACAAAGCAAGAAUCAACACGAAUCAAAGAUCAAAUAAACGAAACAUUAUGCAAUUAAACCUUUAGAUUAACCCUAACACUAUAAAUUAGCAAUCAACAAGAAACUAUUACCAAAAAUGACUCUUACCAAAGGAAAAUAGUUAAAACUCAUUAAACAUACUCUUCAGAUGUUGACUUAACAAAUUCGAAUGCGCAAAAAAACACACACACUGUAAUUAACCUAACAUUAAACCAUGCUGCUAAGCAGAAAAACAAUUAUGAAAGGAAAAAAACCAAAAAGAGAAAUUACCCAGAAAGAAAACAAAAAUCCACGGAGAUGAGUUGGUCUAGCAGCAAACUUGGAUAGAAUUUGGUGGUCGCAAUAUGAACUGAGACUAACAUCAAUCCAUUGUUCUCAAUCAAGAACAAUCACUUGAUGUAGGUCUUGGGUUCAACUGAGCCGAACUUGAACGGGAAGUUAGAAACAGAACAAAAACUAAGGUUUCGACUUUUAGAUCUAAAAUUUGGGGAUUUUUGGGUUCAUUUGAAGGACAUGGUUACGAGAUAUAAAAAGGGAAGAUGGUGGUUGCAUGGUGUUAAUUUGGGCAUAUUUGGAGUGUCGUCACCGUCGUGAGGCAAUUUUCGGCGGGCGGCGGCGGUGGUGAGGGGUUGGGGAAUCCUAGGCAGCUAGGGUUUCUAUUUGGGAUUAGGGUGAGAGACUGGUGAAUC